rnacentral:lncRNA from 1 species
AUGGACCAUGAUAUGCUAUGACCUAAUAUGAAAAUGUAUGUACAAUGAUAGGUGCAAAUUUGAGGUGCUACAGCUGCCCCUAUUCAAUCAGCUGGGAACCCGAAUGGAUGAGAGCAACGGCUGUCAGACUUUCAGGGUAAACAGGGAUUGAAUACCAAGAACCGUAGAAUUUGCACAAUACAGGGAUCCACCAAUGGAAACGUCCACUGGGAUUUGAUAUUUAUUACUGGGUAUUUUGUUUUGUUUUU